GUAACCAUAAACAGAUUUAUCAGGCCACCAAAAACAUUGUUGAAUAACCUGUCUGCCAGUGCAUUUGAGAAACAAUAAGAAUUUGUUUAUGAAGAUCUCAGUCUAAUUUUUGAGCAUUUCCCGGCCUUUAUCACAGCCCUUGGUUGAUAGGCCACGACUUCCUGCUCCAUACUUCAAUGGUAACUUCCUGAUUCCUAACUGUUGUGGUUUUCCAGAACAUGGUAUCCUAAGAGUCAUCUUCAAGUCUGACUUAAGGAUGUCUCCUGAGCUAGACAGGACUAAGAGCCCAAACCAAUGGAAACUUAGAUUCAAAACUGGGAGCUACAUGAACCAAAAUCAAUAGCAAGUGGCUCUGACCAUAAAAAUCACAAACUAGAACUAAACUAGUAAAACCCAAGAAAAAGACACUGUGCUCAAUCUAGACCCAAGGCAUUAGUGGCCCCCUUAAUUCCCCAAACCCUUAAAAAUCCUCUUCACUGGCUGAUGGGGGUGUAGAUUUGAGUGUGUGCCUUGUGUUUCCUGGUCGGCCAACCUAUAAUUGAGCUCUUUCUUUUUGUGAAUACUAGUGCUGUAAUAUCAGUUCUAAUUUCAUCAUACAGUGCGUCCAUGUACAAUAUCAGAGGUAACCAAAGUUCACAUUCCAGGCAGCAGUUUGGGACAUGCAUAUGUCAUUCUGCAAAAUGUUACCCAGUGGACACUUGUGCAGGCCCAAGUAAAGGGUCAGUGGUUCAACCAGUUUUAGAAAACAGUGGCCUCCAAGUUUCUGAAAACAACU
rnacentral:lncRNA from 1 species